GUGCAUAUCUUUUCAAGGAACAUGGCUAACUCCGAACGAAUUCCAGUUUGUGAGCGGGCGAGAAACGGCCAAAGACUGGAAGAGGUCCAUUCGCCACAAUGGCAAGAGCAUCAAACUACUAAUGGCUAAAGACAUUUUGACGAUUACGACUGAAAAUACAAAGAGCGGCGGAGAUUCGAUGCCAAAGAAAAAAACGAAGUCGAAAUUGGACAAGAAAAAAUGCAGCGAAGAAAAUGUUGUUAACGGUGAAAUGAAAAACGCUUUGGUUACGUGUCCAGAGGCGGAAAAUAAAGAAAAUGUACUAAUUGGAGAAUAAGAGCAGCAAUGAUUCUGACGAUUUGAAAAAAGAUGGCGUCAAGUCGUCAACGGACGACGACACCGAGAGAGAGGAGAGCUGGGAAGGCGGAAGUGACACGACAGAACCUGUCGAUUAUGAUUUCGACAAAAGUGGAUUUGACGAAGUAACAUCGAAUCUAAUCUCCGAAUGCGACGCGAUUAAGGCCGUGGCUAAAUUAAAAACAGAAGACGGCGACAAAACGAAAUCAAACUCCGUCGUCUUAGAUGAAGUCGCUCAGAAAAUAACUCCAUCAAACUCCGAUAAAAUUCUACAGAAAGAAGGGGAUGACUCGGAGCGGAAAGCGGAAAGUUUUGAUUGUAACCACAUUUCUGCGAAAAUCAAUGGCGGAAAAAACGAGAGCAAAAGUGAAACGUGUUCAAGUGAUAACAAAGCAAAAGAUAAUGACGUAUCUGAUGAAAUCAAACGCUCGCCAUCGGAAGAAGCGAAACAAAUCUCGGCUGUUCCUGUCCUAAAGAUAAAAAAGAGGAGAAUCGCUAAGAAGAAUAAAACGAAAGAUCUGGACAUAAAACAUUCCAAAAAAGUUACGACUGAGAAAAUUAGAAAGAGAAAGCGUAAAUUGUCGGUAUCGACCGCCAAAGCUGCUAAAUAUACUGAAGGCGAGAAACUUGCGUCAGAAGGCAGCGACGAGGGAGCAAACGGCGGGAAGGCAGCAGACGACAACUUUGAGCAGAGUGACAAAAACGACAACAGUGUUGUAGCGAAUGACAAAAUUAGCUGCUCGAGAGAGUCGAGACUUGGAAGCAUAAUUAAUCAACUACGAGAAAGCAAAGAGAAGAGGAAAUCGGAUCAUUAUGACGAAGAUGUUACCAUGGCCGACUACAGUUCACCUGAAUCAGAGGAAAAGUCGGAAAAUGUCAUUACCAGCAUUCCUACUUCAACCGAAACAAAGAGUGGCGAAAACGGCGGGAAAAAACACAGCUCUAAUCGAGAGAAAUCUCCCCGAAAACACAAUCAAGUGAAGCGAUCGCCCUACUACAUGAAAAAGGAAGCUAAACAAAAGUAUCUAGAAAUAUUCGAGAGAAGUACGGGGGCUUCUAGUGCUGACAAGAGCGAAGAAAAACCAGCAAUAAACAACCCAGAUACUGAAAUGUCUCCGGAAUCGCGUGUCAGAAAAGAAACAGAUUCCACUUCCGUUUCAAGUCCGGGCCAUUCAGAAAGCGCGCCAGUUGCCCCUACGGAAAAAACGGAUGAAAAUAGAAAUCAGUCGUCAAAGCCGUGUAAACCAUUCAGUAUCGAUAGCAUUAUAUCUACAGGUCAACAUUCGGCGAACAAAUUCACAUCAGUUCCUGAUUCAACGAAAACAACCAUACCAACCAUUUCCAUUCCGAGAACGCCUGCGUCAUUAUCAUUAUCAUCAUCCAGUUCAAUUUUCUCGCACCAUAGUCCCACCGAAUACAAUGUGUUUAGGAAAUCGCCCAAUUCCACUUCACCAAACAGAACAAAUUCUCCUCUUUCAAGGAAAGAACAUAUCUUGCAAAGGACUGGUAGUCCCAGAAAUGGAGAGAGGUCGCCGUUGCCAAACCCAAGCGACCCUUACAAUGAAUACAUGAAAGCGCUUGCGGCUACAUAUCCCAUAUUGCCAGGUCCAGCGUUCUAUGACCACUACUUCAGAUCUCCAGAAAUGCCACUUCAUCCAGGAUUCGUUCAUCCCUACAUGUUCCCCGCCUUUGCAGAACACAACCAUCAUCUUCAGUCCCUAGCAGCUGCGGCGGCGGUCCGCCCUCAAACGGCGAAAUCAAAGUCCGUCACGUCCCCAAAGGUCGCCUCUCCGGCAGUGUUAGACCUGACGCGAUUACCACACAUGAUGACGUCAUUACCAUCAUCAUCUUUCACCACAGCUAGCACAACGCCAUCCGAUUCGUCAAAAAGAGCGGGAAAACGUCCAUCGGCGUCGUCUGGUGAGUCAGUUUUGGACCUGUCCGUCAAGCGACCCAAGCUCCAUACCAGCAACAUUUUUGACAUUCCAAAGUGCAGUGUUGAAAAUCCUUUCAAUAGUCAUGCAUAUCGUCUUCAUCAAGAGCUAUAUGGUGCUUGGCAAAGCGAACAUUCUUCUCUGUUGAAUUCAAAACAUACGCAUGUCAGCAAUGGUAAAGUGUCAAAGUACGACGGAACAUCUUGUCAGUGUGCGGAGAACGUCUCCAAAGAUGUCCGUAAUUGGUCCGUGGAGAAAGUUGGACAAUUUCUGAAAAGCUUGGAUGGUUGUUCACCGUAUGUUAAGAUUUUCCAGGAGAGUAGAAUAUCCGGGAAGUAUCUCCCGCUCCUGACGACGGACCAACUAGUGCAACACCUAGGAAUGAAGGACAAACCAGCCCGAAUUCUGUGCGAGGCCGUAACAAAUAAGGUGCUAGAACUGAGGAAAUACUCCAUUCCUUGUGCGUACUGCAAAACGAAGAAACCCAUGCAGUCUCGUGUGUGUUUUUAGUUUUUCAGCGUUUUUGUCAAAUACAUGUAAUAAACAUUUUUGUGUAGAAUGAU
rnacentral:misc_RNA from 1 species